UGUUCGGUUUUUCUCUUUAUUUAUUAUUGUGCUAUCUACUGUACAAUAUAAAGCGCCUUGAGGCGACUUUUGUUGUGAUUUGGCGCUAUAUAAAUAAAAUUGAAUUGAAUUGAAUACAAUCAUGGACACAGUCCAUCAGGACUUUUGACUGAGAGUGGACGUUUUAUCACCAAAACUAGAGGAAUUUAUUAUUUAACGAAGUUGGUGUUUUAAAGGUCUGAGUCUCGUUUUGUGCAGGGUGUGGGAAUGGAACUGAGACGUGCAUAAAAUUAACUUUUUAUGUGCACCUUGGCACAUUACUGGGAUUCCAGGACUCCAGUCUCAGCCACAAAUGCAUGCAGUCCAUGGGGACACAAGAGUCACCGCUUUUUUUAAGCACAUUUUAAUCAGUGGAGUCAGUACUGCGUAAAAACAGUGGAGGAGAAUUCCACAACCGUGGUGCCACUGCCUAAAAGGCCCGAUCACCACGAGUUUCAAUCAAGUGCAUGGGGCCACCAGCAGUCUCUGACCUGAUGACCUUAGAGCUCAGGAAGAUGAAUGCGGUUUCAGCAGGUCAGAUUUAUACUGGGGAGGUACCAGCAAGCUGCACAAGCAGCGAAGCUGAACACAGGCGCCAUCUUGCCAGGAUACAACUAUACCAGCUGUGAAACAGAUUCUCUUGGAAACACUGAGAGGUUUGAGUGAAAAGGAUCAGAAGAAAUUCAGUCACUUCCUGCAGUUAACCUACUUCCAGAAGGGCCUCCCACAGUUCCCACCUGGAGUAUUUACACACAAUCAUGAGUUAGUGGAUCUGAUGGUGCAGUUCUACAGCGAACAAUCUGUGGAGCUGACCAAGGAGGUUCUGAUGGACAUGAACAGCACUGACACGGUGAAGACUACCACUCAAUCUAAGACAAACAACUCUAAAAUUACACAGCACUGUUUCUCUCAUAAAUGUCUCGUGAAAGGAUUGUUUUAAACAAUUAAUUUAUUGAUUGACAAUAAAAAAUAUAAAAAGAAA